GACGUAGGGGGCGAGCGUUGUCCGGAGUCACUGGGCGUAAAGGGUGCGUAGGCGGGUCUUUAAGUCAGGGGUGAAAUCCUGGAGCUCAACUCCAGAACUGCCUUUGAUACUGAAGAUCUUGAGUUCGGGAGAGGUGAGUGGAACUGCGAGUGUAGAGGUGAAAUUCGUAGAUAUUCGCAAGAACACCAGUGGCGAAGGCGGCUCACUGGCCCGAUACUGACGCUGAGGCACGAAAGCGUGGGGAGCAAACAGG
rnacentral:rRNA from 1 species